AACGAACGCUGGCGGCAGGCUUAACACAUGCAAGUCGAACGCACUCUUCGGAGUGAGUGGCAGACGGGUGAGUAACACGUGGGAACCUACCCAAAGGCACGGAAUAACACAGGGAAACUUGUGCUAAUACCGUAUGUGCCCUUCGGGGGAAAGAUUUAUCGCCUUUGGAUGGGCCCGCGUCGGAUUAGCUAGUUGGUGGGGUAAUGGCCUACCAAGGCGACGAACCGUAGCUGGUCUGAGAGGAUGAUCAGCCACACUGGGACAGAGACACGGCCCAGACUCCUACGGGAGGCAGCAGUGGGGAAUAUUGGACAAUGGGCGCAAGCCUGAUCCAGCCAUGCCGCGUGAGUGAUGAAGGCCUUAGGGUUGUAAAGCUCUUUCAGCUGGGAAGAUAAUGACGGUACCAGCAGAAGAAGCCCCGGCUAACUUCGUGCCAGCCGCCGCAGUAACAC
rnacentral:rRNA from 1 species